CAUAAGCUUUUAUUCCAAAAAAAUUUAUUAUCAUUUAAUAAUUUCUUUUGAGUAAUAAAUAUACUAAAUCUAAAAUAUGAAUUUUACACGCAUCGUCUCCUUUUUAACAAUAACGGUAUUCGUUAUUCAGACAAUAACUUCAGGUGUUAUUGGGAACGACAAUGAAAAAAAACACCAACACGUAAUUGCAAUUGGUGGUAAUAUA